AUGUUGAUAAAUGGAAGUCCAACAUAUGAGUUUAAGAUGUGCCGUGGACUUAGACAAGGAGACCCAUUCUCUUCGUUUCUAUUCCUAAUUGUUGCUGAAGCAUUCAACUUGAUGAUGAAAAAGGCAAUAGAUUUGAGGAAAUUUCAAGAUUACAAAUUUGAUGAAGAUAGGCUGAAAGAUUCAAAUGAAUAUUCUGUAAAAGGUGUUUACAAAAGUCUUAUGCCUGAAAGUUCAGACGAGUUAAGGAAUCCAUGGCCGAAAAUUUAG
rnacentral:lncRNA from 1 species